UACGUAGGGUCCGAGCGUUGUCCGGAAUUAUUGGGCGUAAAGGGCUCGUAGGCGGUUUGUCGCGUCGGGAGUGAAAACUCAGGGCUCAACCCUGAGCGUGCUUCCGAUACGGGCAGACUAGAGGUAUGCAGGGGAGAACGGAAUUCCUGGUGUAGCGGUGGAAUGCGCAGAUAUCAGGAGGAACACCGGUGGCGAAGGCGGUUCUCUGGGCAUUACCUGACGCUGGAGGAAGCGAAAGCAUGGGGAGCGAACAGG
rnacentral:rRNA from 1 species